rnacentral:rRNA from 1 species
UACGUAGGGGCGAGCGUUGUCCGGAUUAUUGGGCGUAAGAGCGUGUAGGCGGCCAGGUAGGUCUGCUGUGAAAACUCGAGGCUCAACCUCGAGACGUCGGCGGAAACCAUCUGGCUAGAGUCCGGAAGAGGAGAGUGGAAUUCCUGGUGUAGCGGUGAAAUGCGCAGAUAUCAGGAAGAACACCCGUGGCGAAGGCGGCUCUCUGGACGGUACUGACGCUGAGACGCGAAAGCGUGGGGAGCGAACAGG